GGCCUAACCCUUAAAAAUAUUUGAGGUAUGGUUGUAAAGCCUGCAACGGAGCAAAAAACCCAUCAUUGGGGGCUACCGUUGCAGGUCUUACGUCGAAAGAUGUAUGGAUAGCGAAAGCUAUC
rnacentral:sRNA from 1 species